UUAGAAUAAAUUAUUUAGGUUGGUGCAAAAGUAAUUGUAGUUUUUGCCAUAUUUUUAAUCAAAUGGCAAAAGCUUUUUGCACUAACCUAAUAUGGGAAAAU
rnacentral:miRNA from 1 species